GACUCCGUAGCUUGCAGGAAUAGAAGCGCCCGUCUAGCGAAUUGGGAGUCGUGAGUUCGAGUCUCACCGGAGUAC
rnacentral:tRNA from 1 species